rnacentral:rRNA from 1 species
UACAGAGGUCUCAAGCGUUGUUCGGAUUCAUUGGGCGUAAAGGGUGCGUAGGCGGCGCGGUAAGUCGGGUGUGAAAUCUCGGAGCUUAACUCCGAAACUGCAUUCGAUACUGCCGUACUUGAGUGCAGGAGAGGAAUGCGGAAUUCCAGGUGUAGCGGUGAAAUGCGUAGAUAUCUGGAGGAACACCGGUGGCGAAGGCGGCAUUCUGGACUGCAACUGACACUGAAAGACGAAAGCCAGGGAGCAAACAGG